CGUGCAGGAUUCUUGCUCUGUCGGGUCCACCCUUUUUCUGGCUGUGGUGCCUCCAUUGUCCUAACACUCUUCAGCAACCUGUCAAGAUCUUUAUAUGGUGGCCACCAGGAGUAGCCAUCUGCAUACCAGGACUUGGCAGCUGGUCCAGUCGUCCCUUCUCCCUCAAACUCCAUGAUUAGAAAUCAACUGUUGUUGAGAGGUCAUCCACUAAAUGAAUGCCAAGUGUAGAGGAUGGCAGUGGAUAGUCAAAAAAGGAUUCCUGGUGGUUGAAGAGUGUGUGGGUUUGUUCUCAACUCUUUAUAUUGUGUCGCCUCAUGGAAGGAUGCAGGAAGAGGACCAGUCGCAUGUGGUUUUUUGAGCAGAUGUGGCCUGGUUUUGUGAGUUUUUUUUGCAGCAUCUUUGCAUUUCUGAGAGUCUUUUUAUUAUUUGACUGAAUGGGCAUGUUGGUUUCCUCAGAAGUCUUUUGAGUUUGUUUAGGUGAUUCUCAUACUUGAAAGCACUGAAGUUGUCAAGGACACCAUGCUUUUUUGCAUCAUCUGCAAGAUGUACAAGGCAGUGUGCAUUGUAGGACAAGAAUUGUGGACCAUACAGUUGACCAAAGUGAGAGACAAAGAGUACCACCUACAAGUCAGAGGACCCAUCUUAAGCUACAAGAGAAGAAGCCGUCUCAUGAUUCCGAGGCACACAAGGUGCAUGUAGUCAAGGGGGAAACCAGAGACCAUGUUUAGGGAUGUUUCUUCAAGAGUGUCCCUAGGAUGGGCCAGAACUGUGUUGCUGAGCUCUUAUAAAGUGGCAAACCAUCAAUGCUGACCUGAAGCUCCA